rnacentral:rRNA from 1 species
GACGAACGCUGGCGGCGUGCCUAAUACAUGCAAGUCGAACGCAGUGGGGACGGGUGAGUAACACGUGGGUAACCUCCCAUCAGAGGGGAUAACACUUGGAAACAGGUGCUAAACCGAUACUGAUGGAUGGACCCGCGGUGCAGUCGCUAGUUGGUGAGGUAACGGCUCACCAAGGCCACGAUGCAUAGCCGACCUGAGAGGGGGAUCGGCCCCAGUUGGGAUGAGAUCCGGCCCAGACUCCUACGGGAGGCAUCAGUAGGGAGUCGUCGGCAAUGGACGAAAGUCUGACCGAGCAACGCCGCGUGAGUGAAGAAGGUUCGCGGAUCGUAAAACUCUGUUGUUAGAGAAGCGGUAUCUAACCAGAAAGCCACGGCUAACUACGUGCCAGCAGCCGCGGUAAUUC